rnacentral:rRNA from 1 species
UACAUGGGGUGCAAACGUUGCUCGGAAUUAUUGGGCGUAAAGCGCACGUAGGCGGUUUGUUAAGUCGGAUGUGAAAUCCCUCGGCUCAACUGAGGAAGUGCAUCCGAAACUGGCAAGCUUGAGUACGAAAGAGGGUCGCGGAAUUCCCGGUGUAGAGGUGAAAUUCGUAGAUAUCGGGAGGAACACCGGUGGCGAAGGCAGCGACCUGGGUCGAUACUGACGCUGAGGUGCGAAAGCGUGGGGAGCAAACAGG